rnacentral:tRNA from 1 species
GAGGGUAUAGCUCAAGUGGUAGAGCACAUGCUUAGCAUACACAAGGCCCUGGGUUCAACCCCAGUACCUCCU